GACGAACGCUGGCGGCGUGCUUAACACAUGCAAGUCGAACGGAAAGGCCCUGCUUUUGUGGGGUGCUCGAGUGGCGAACGGGUGAGUAACACGUGAGUAACCUGCCCUUGACUUUGGGAUAACUUCAGGAAACUGGGGCUAAUACCGGAUAGGAGCUCCUGCUGCAUGGUGGGGGUUGGAAAGUUUCGGCGGUUGGGGAUGGACUCGCGGCUUAUCAGCUUGUUGGUGAGGUAGUGGCUUACCAAGGCUUCGACGGGUAGCCGGCCUGAGAGGGUGACCGGCCACAUUGGGACUGAGAUACGGCCCAGACUCCUACGGGAGGCAGCAGUGGGGAAUAUGGCACAAUGGGCGGAAGCCUGAUGCAGCAACGCCGCGUGCGGGAUGACGGCCUUCGGGUUGUAAACCGCUUUCGCCUGUGACGAAGCGUGAGUGACGGUAAUGGGUAAAGAAGCACCGGCUAACUACGUG
rnacentral:rRNA from 1 species